CGCACAUUUUGUUUUCACAGACUAACGUCGCCUCAUAACGAAGCCGUGACCUCCUAUUUGGUUGGGGCUAUUUUAGCAAGUCCACAUUUAACUGCUGAGAAUGACGACAUUGUUUCUGCCUGUAAGACGUAUUAUGAGUCGGUUCGCCGGAGCUUCAGAUACAAACAACCUGAACUCGCAUCGCGGGCGGAAAAUGCGAAAAGUUUAGCUCGGAGUCGAUCCAGAAGAAAAAGGUUGCUGGAAGCGAGACGAAGUGUGCUGGCUGAGGGUGAGAUGGACAUUUGAAAGUGCGCCACCAUAGAUCUCAUGUCUGAUGAAGACGGCAUUGUUGACGGGGUGUCUGGAUGGAUUGUACGGCCACCGCCCUCUCGCAGCCUGGAACUCUCCGAGCUCUGUGCCACGCUGCAAUUCAGAUUAGAGGCGAUACCAAAGUACAGGGGAACUCACCAUAUAUGCCUGCAAAAGCGACUUUUUUACAACGUUUUUGAGGUUUUUUUUUUUCUUUUUCUUUUUUCAACACUUGAUAACUUUGAAAAAGAUUUUUAGGGAUCUUUCCCGAAUGUCUUGGGCACUUUUUGACGUGUUUGGAGGACAACAUAAGAGACAUUAUGCUGCUUUGUACAUAGUUGUGUGUUUCUAAUUAAAGCUCUUUCUUUGAAUAAACAGCUGUGUGUUUAUAAAUAAACCUCUUUGUUUUCUCUUAUAUUUCUUGAUGGUGUGAAUAAUGAAGUACAUAGCACAAUGACAUUAUUAUAUAAAAAAUUAAUAUCACAUAAAUUAUAUAUUUAUUAUUAUUAUUAUUAUUGGGGUUUACAUUUAUAAUGAGCCAGGGUGCCCAAUAA